CGCGGCCUAUCAGCUUGUUGGUGGGGUAGUGGCUUACCAAGGCUUUGACGGGUAGCCGGCCUGAGAGGGUGACCGGCCACAUUGGGACUGAGAUACGGCCCAGACUCCUACGGGAGGCAGCAGUGGGGAAUAUUGCACAAUGGGCGGAAGCCUGAUGCAGCAACGCCGCGUGCGGGAUGACGGCCUUCGGGUUGUAAACCGCUUUCGCCUGUGACGAAGCGUGAGUGACGGUAAUGGGUAAAGAAGCACCGGCUAACUACGUGCCAGCAGCCGCGGUGAUACGUAGGGUGCGAGCGUUGUCCGGAUUUAUUGGGCGUAAAGGGCUCGUAGGUGGUUGAUCGCGUCGGAAGUGUAAUCUUGGGGCUUAACCCUGAGCGUGCUUUCGAUACGGGUUGACUUGAGGAAGGUAGGGGAGAAUGGAAUUCCUGGUGGAGCGGUGGAAUGCGCAGAUAUCAGGAGGAACACCAGUGGCGAAGGCGGUGCUCUGGGCCUUUCCUGACGCUGAGGAGCGAAAGCGUGGGGAGCGAACAGGCUUAGAUACCCUGGUAGUCCACGCUGUAAACGGUGGGUACUAGGUGUGGGGUCCAUUCCACGGGUUCCGUGCCGUAGCUAACGCUUUAAGUACCCCGCCUGGGGAGUACGG
rnacentral:rRNA from 1 species